CUUUUAGGAUCGCAUCAACGACUACGACUACGAACACAGCGUGAAGCAGAUACAAAGAUCACACCAGUCACAGUACAACAAAAUCAUUGUUGGUUCUUAGAAUGCCGAUGCAGAUAUUGACAGAUGCAAUUUGCUGUU